rnacentral:lncRNA from 1 species
GGGAGGUGGCAGUGCGGCUGCGGUCGGCCUGCGAGGCUCACGGGGCAGAGAGGACCCUGGAGGGGCCGAGUGGGCACGGAGGCCCCAGCCGCCGCCGACUGCGGCACACAGCAGCGGGGCGUGCGUCCGUCUGUCCAUCCGUCUGGCCCUGCAGCCCCGUGCAAACCCCGGGAGCAGCCUCUCUCAGCCACAUCGUACAGUCGAGUCGCCCGGGGUACGGGAACCCAGGCCCCACCCCCAAGGUUCUAAACUAAUUGGUCCGGGCCAAUCAGUGGCCCUGGCAUCUACUUUAGAAAGCAUCCUGGGCUUGGGAACCGGGGAAGUAACCACUUCCUUCGGGGCUGGAACUACCCUCCACACGGGUGCCCGACGCGGUGAGCCAAGUGAGCCAGGACACGGAGCCCAGGGGGGCGUGCAAGUGCAGGGUGGGCGCCUCCUCCGACGGCCCCUGGUGCCGUCGCCCCCCAGCUCGCUCUGCUCCCCCUCCAGCCCCGUGGGUUCCGUCCCUGGCCUGACUCGAAGACGUAACUCAGACCACUUGUCCCUGCCCUCUGGAGGCCCUAGGACGCAGUGGACAAAAGUGUCAUGGGGCCAGGGGACCUGUCCUGGGAAGACACGGGCAGAAAACCGAAGAAUGAACAGGCCAAAUCGUGACCUUAAGUGCUUUGCUGGUUUUCGGAACAAGAAUGACACGACACGACUACCGGCUGCGAGACACAGCUUAGUCAUUUCCACCAGCCCCCCCGCCCCCACGCCAGGCCAGAGCCGGCAACUCACUGGGGGGACUGGAUCCAGGGCCCUGGAGAGAGGGACUCAAGUCCUACAAACCAGCGUGUGUUCCUGUUGUGUGACAGUCACCGAGACAGAGUGUGGGCGGGACUCAGGGGCCCCUCUUGGGCGCUCAUCCUUGGCCUCACCCAGAAAUCCGUCUCAGCAGCAGAGAAUCAGAAGUCGGCACCAAGGCAGGCAGAUUUUUUAGGGCCAUGUGGAACCGAUUAGUCUGCGAAUGUGAGCUCAGGGCU